rnacentral:lncRNA from 1 species
AUGCUAAAUUCUUUACGAGUGCAUACCUGUGAUCAUAUCCGACAAUUUUGUUCUGCCAUUUUCCGAGGUUUUGGAUUGGGCCCAUUCUCAGUAAUUCUUGCAGAGAGAGACAUCCCAAACUUGAAAGAGAUACUGCUUUCAAUACCAGAAGAGAAGUAUCUUCAGAUGCAGGUAGGGGUCAGGAAGGUUCAAAAGCUAGCAUUUUCUCUGGCAUGCUAAACCCCUCAAGUAUGAUCUCUUCCACAUGACUCUUCACUCAAUUUGUUACAACAGAGUUUUUCAGAUAAAAAUCCGGUAA